AUUGUACUUCAUCAGGUGCUCUGGUGUCCACCGUAACCCGGCACAUGUUGAAGUACACUCA
rnacentral:pre_miRNA from 1 species